GGACAUUACAGAGUUAUAAAACUCCCAAACCCUUGUGAACAUACCCGUUACAGUUGCUUCGGCGGGCGGCCCCAGGGCGGGGCCGCAGCCUCCUAGCGAGGCGCCCGCCGGAGGUAUCUAAACUCUUGUUUUAUACUGGCUCUCUGAGUAAUUUUUAAAUAAGUUAAAACUUUCAACAACGGAUCUCUUGGUUCUGGCAUCGAUGAAGAACGCAGCGAAAUGCGAUAAGUAAUGUGAAUUGCAGAAUUCAGUGAAUCAUCGAAUCUUUGAACGCACAUUGCGCCCGCUAGUAUUCUAGCAGGCAUGCCUGUUCGAGCGUCAUUUCAACCCUCAAGCACUGCUUGGUGUUGGGGUCCUAUAACUAAUAGGCCCUGAAAAUCAUUGGCGGGCUCGCUAUAAUUCCGAGCGUAGUAGUAAUAUCUCGUUUAGGACGUAUAGCGGGUUCUGGCCGUUAAACCCCUAUUUUUACAAUGGUUGACCUCGGAUCAGGUAGGAAUACCCGCUGAACUUAAGCAUAUCAAUAA
rnacentral:sRNA from 1 species